UGGGGAAUAUUGCACAAUGGGGGAAACCCUGAUGCAGCGACGCCGCGUGGAGGAAGAAGGUCUUCGGAUUGUAAACUCCUGUUGUUGAGGAAGAUAAUGACGGUACUCAACAAGGAAGUGACGGCUAACUACGUGCCAGCAGCCGCGGUAAAACGUAGGUCACAAGCGUUGUCCGGAAUUACUGGGUGUAAAGGGAGCGCAGGCGGGAGAACAAGUUGGAAGUGAAAUCCAUGGGCUCAACCCAUGAACUGCUUUCAAAACUGUUUUUCUUGAGUAGUGCAGAGGUAGGCGGAAUUCCCGGUGUAGCGGUGGAAUGCGUAGAUAUCGGGAGGAACACCAGUGGCGAAGGCGGCCUACUGGGCACCAACUGACGCUGAGGCUCGAAAGUGUGGGUAGCAAACAGGAUUAGAUACCCUGGUAGUCCACACCGUAAACGAUGAUUACUAGGUGUUGGAGGAUUGACCCCUUCAGUGCCGCAGUUAACACAAUAAGUAAUCCACCUGGGGAGUACGACCGCAAGGUUGAAACUCAAAGGAAUUGACGGGGGCCCGCACAAGCAGUGGAGUAUGUGGUUUAAUUCGAAGCAACGCGAAGAACCUUACCAGGUCUUGACAUCCGAUGCAUAGCACAGAGAUGUGUGAAAUCCUUCGGGACAUCGAGACAGGUGGUGCAUGGUUGUCGUCAGCUCGUGUCGUGAGAUGUUGGGUUAAGUCCCGCAACGAGCGCAACCCUUAUUGCCAGUUACUACGUUAAGAGGACUCUGGCGAGACUGCCGUUGACAAAACGGAGGAAGGUGGGGAUGACGUCAAAUCAUCAUGCCCUUUAUGACCUGGGCUACACACGUACUACAAUGGCGUUAAACAAAGAGAAGCAAGACCGCGAGGUGGAGCAAAACUCAAAAACAACGUCUCAGUUCAGAUUGCAGGCUGCAACUCGCCUGCAUGAAGUCGGAAUUGCUAGUAAUCGCGGAUCAGAAUGCUGCGGUGAAUACGUUCCC
rnacentral:rRNA from 1 species